CUUUAAUUUUAAUUUGCAGUUAUUAAAACUGAUAGGUUUUCAAAAUGACAUAGGAACUUCUUACUAACUUUACUACUACCUUUAAAAAUAUGGAGAAAUUUAUAUAAACAGCUACCGUGGCAUUAAUGCUUAGUCGGGUUGUGUUGAGUAAAUGUUAUAUGGUAGUGAGUGACUAUAUACAUAAAGAAACAAAAAUUGUAAAGCCAUAAAUAUCAUAAAGAUUGUAAAGCAUAACGUCAAUCCCAAUGCUAACAAUAAUUACAACAAAGAUGGAAAACCACAAUAAAAGUCAAGUUGAAAUCACCAAUUUUAUGAAAGUGGAAAAACAA
rnacentral:misc_RNA from 1 species